rnacentral:misc_RNA from 1 species
GAUGAAGAACGCAGUGAAAUGCGAAAAGUAAUGUGAAUUGCAGAAUUCAGUGAAUCAUCGAAUCUUUGAACGCACAUUGCGCCCGCUGGUACUCCGGCGGGCACGCCUGUCCGAGCGUCAUUUCAACCCUCAAGCCCUCCUUCGGGAUGGGCCUGGUGUUGGGGCUCGGCCGCCAUCUCCGGCGGCCGUCCCCUAAAUACAGUGGCGGUCACGUCGCGACUCCUUUGCGUAGUAGAAACACCUCGCUCCGGAUAGCAACGCGGUCCACGCCGUAAAACCCCCAAUUUUCAAUGGUUGACCUCGGAUCAGGUGGGAAUACCCGCUGAACUUAAGCAUAUCAAUAAGCGGAGGA